UCGCGCUAGGCGGGGAGCCAGCGGUGCCCUGUACCCGCAAUCCGCUAUAGCGGGGCCGAAACAUCUGUGCGGCAUUGCGCAGCGGGUUCGUAUUCUCGUAAGCGGUGUUGAUGAUCAGGACCUGCGCGGCGGCAGCCUGUGAACCCCGUCAGGACCGGAAGGUAGCAGCGGUAAGCAGUGUCUGCCGGGCGAUGCGGGCCAACCUGAUCUGAGCCGGCUGCAUUGUACAUCCCG
rnacentral:SRP_RNA from 1 species